GGGUCAGUAGGUUGGUCGUGCCACCGGUACGUACUGGUCUUACUGAUUCCUCCUUCCUGAAGAACCGUAAUGCCAUUAAUUUGGUGUUGCGGGGAAACAGGACUGUUACUUUGAAAAAAUUAGAGUGUUUAAAGCAAGCUAACGCUUGAAUACAUUAGCAUGGAAUGAUGAAAUAGGACGAUCGAUCCUAUUUUGUUGGUUUCUAGGAUUGACGUA
rnacentral:rRNA from 1 species